CCUACGGGUGGCAGCAGUGGGGAAUAUUGCACAAUGGGGGAAACCCUGAUGCAGCAACGCCGCGUGAGUGAUGACGGCCUUCGGGUUGUAAAGCUCUGUCUUCAGGGACGAUAAUGACGGUACCUGAGGAGCAAGCCACGGCUAACUACGUGCCAGCAGCCGCGGUAAUACGUAGGUGGCAAGCGUUGUCCGGAAUUACUGGGUGUAAAGGGAGCGCAGGCGGGAAGCCAAGUCAGCUGUGAAAACUACGGGCUUAACUUGUAGACUGCAGUUGAAACUGGUUUUCUUGAGUGAAGUAGAGGUUGGCGGAAUUCCGAGUGUAGCGGUGAAAUGCGUAGAUAUUCGGAGGAACACCGGUGGCGAAGGCGGCCAACUGGGCUUUAACUGACGCUGAGGCUCGAAAGUGUGGGGAGCAAACAGGAUUAGAUACCCUGGUAGUC
rnacentral:rRNA from 1 species